rnacentral:snoRNA from 1 species
AGCCUCCUAGUGCUUACCACAGGCUGUGUUCUUAUACUGACUGCAUAGAAAAAGGAGGGAAAAUAAACUUACCCCAGGCUCUGUACCUGGUCUGUAUUGUGAAUGUAUUG